rnacentral:rRNA from 1 species
GACGAACGCUGGCGGCGUGCUUAACACAUGCAAGCCGAACGGAAAGGCCCCCUUGUGGGGUACUCGAGUGGCGAACGGGUGAGUAACACGUGAGUAACCUACCCUUGACUUUGGGAUAACUUCAGGAAACUGGGGCUAAUACCGGAUAGGAGCUCCUGCUGCAUGGUGGGGGUUGGAAAGUUUCGGCGGUUGGGGAUGGACUCGCGGCUUAUCAGCUUGUUGGUGGGGUAGUGGCUCACCAAGGCUUUGACGGGUAGCCGGCCUGAGAGGGUGACCGGCCACAUUGGGACUGAGAUACGGCCCAGACUCCUACGGGAGGCAGCAGUGGGGAAUAUUGCACAAUGGGCGGAAGCCUGAUGCAGCAACGCCGCGUGCGGGAUGACGGCCUUCGGGUUGUAAACCGCUUUCGCCUGUGACGAAGCGUGAGUGACGGUAAUGGGUAAAGAAGCACCGGCUAACUACGUG